UUCUCCUUUCCCUGGUACUUCAUAAUUUACGUCCAGUUUAUUGACCACUGAAUUAGUAUAUUGAAACAAUCUAAAUAACAACUCACCAGCUGAUAGUAUUGAACCUCUCCAACAAAAUUACAAUAGUCUUGCAAUAGAUAAUGUAAGGAGAAAGAAGGGGGAUGAGGACAGAGAUAACAGAAGGAGGUGAGAGGAUAGAAACUUUCUGCAACAAAAUAGUGAAGCCUACUACUGAUUACUUAUAACUAACUUUGGCCCUUUCACAUGCUGCUUGGCACAUGCCUCUCUGCACGUUUUCUUUUCCCAGCCUCAACAACAAAAUCCACUAACUUUCUAGAGGGAAUUUUCAUAUGCUCGCUCUUCCUUAUAGCAGUGGCAACAGGUUGAUUAUUCUUGUCCUCCAUGGCAGCCAAGGUGUCACCUAUGUCAGUAGUAUUCAUAACAUAUAUCCUUACGUAUACUCAUUGUUCUACCAACAUGUAAACUCGAGCACCUAACACGAGCAAAAGACAAAGAGGCAGACUUGGGAAAAUAACCAUAUACUAGCAAAAUAACAAACCAACUCAAACAAGACCAAUAAAAUUUGGAUGGGCAAAAAAACCUCAUCCCUUUUCAUCAGAGGCGUAUCCAGAAUUUUGAGAACAUGGGUGCAUCAUUAUCUUUAAGAUAGUAUAUGCAGUUUCUUGUUCAAUAUAUUUUUUGGUAACUAAAACAAAUUUUAUUUACCAACUCAAUGAUACGUACAACUAAAAAACAAAACUGAAACUUGGACGGAGGUCCCAAGUAACAGAAGCCAAAAUUCCUUCGCAUAAAUGCUUUUUCCCAUGGAUUUCAAUCUUUGACUCGGCCAAGCAUUUUCUCAAACACAAUAUGUGCACAAAUUCAAUAAACUAUCAAAAUUCAAGACUUCAAACUUCAAGGAGAGAGAGAGUAGUUACAUACCUGAGAAUUUUAAAGGAACAUAAAGUGAUGGAGAAGAAAUUGAUGCUUUCUUGAAGAAUCCACAUUCCACAGUCACAUAGAGCCAAUGGAGAGAGAGAGAGAGAGAGAGAGUUGAGAGGGAGACAUUGUAUUUUGUUUUUAGGGAUUUGAUCGAUUAUACCCAAAUCCCC
rnacentral:lncRNA from 1 species